rnacentral:rRNA from 1 species
UGAAUUAAUGUAAACUGCAUACUGCUUUGAACAUCGACAUCUUGAACGCAUAUUGCGGCCAUGGGUUAGCCUGUGGCCACGCCUGUCCGAGGGUCGGCUU